GACGGAGGGUGCAAGCGUUGCUCGGAAUCACUGGGCGUAAAGGGUGCGUAGGCGGUCUCGCAAGUCUGGCGUGAAAGCCCAAGGCUCAGCCUUGGAAGUGCGCUCGAAACGGCGAGGCUGGAGUGCCGGAGGGGAGAGUGGAAUUCCUGGUGUAGCGGUGAAAUGCGCAGAUAUCAGGAAGAACACCUAUGGCGAAGGCAGCUCUCUGGGACGGUACUGACGCUGAGACGCGAAAGCGUGGGGAGCGAACAGG
rnacentral:rRNA from 1 species